GAGGAAUCUUGGUCAAUGGAGGCAACUCUGAACCAGCCACGUCGCGUGAAGGACGAAGGCCUUACGGGUCGUAAACUUCUUUUUCGGGGGAAUAAACGGGGUCACGGGUGGCCCCUUGCAUGUACCCCGCGAACAAGGAUCGGCUAACUCCGUGCCAGCAGCCGCGGUAAUACGGAGGAUCCGAGCGUUAUCCGGAUUUAUUGGGAUUAAAGGGUGCGCAGGCGGGUUGCUAAGUCGGUGGUGAAAUCCCGGGGCUCAACCCCGGGCUUGCCAUCGAAACUGGUUACCUCGAGUGUGGUUGAGGCAGGCGGAAUUCGUGGUGUAGCGGUGAAAUGCAUAGAUAUCACGAGGAACCCCGAUCGCGUAGGCAGCUUGCCAAGCCAUAACUGACGCUCAUGCACGAAGGCGUGGGGAUCAAAC
rnacentral:rRNA from 1 species